UACAUUUAUAUGGCAUUUUUAUGCAAUUCAGUACCGGUUUUUGGUUGAUGGUGUCUGGAGGUGUGAUGAGACAAAACCCUUUGUACGUGAUGAAUAUGGACUGAUCAGCAAUGAAGUGCUUGUGGAAAACAAUGUACAACCCGUUGUGCAGCCAGAGCCUUCUAUCAUAGGAACUAAUAUGGAUAAGGGUACCAUUUUGAAAACAAUGCCCCCGGAGCCGUCAUCUCAGAACCCAAGCAUGCAAAUAGCAGUUAUCCGCCAUGUGGUCUCUGGAAUAUUAUUACACAAUACCAUAUAUGACGUUGUUCCCCUUUCUAGCAAGUUAACAGUUUUGGACACUCAGCUUCCUGUUAAACAAGCAUUUAAAAUAAUGCAUGAUGAGGUAUGUAUGUUACUGUGCUUGCUAGAGUUGCUUCAAAUAGUUCACUUUCCCUCUAUGGUGCUUGUUUGCUCUCAUUUCAACUUUGCUCUGUUUUUACUUUCAUUUUGAAGAAUUUUUAAAGCUGUGCUAGCAAU